UACAGAGGUGACAAACGUUGUCCGGAAUUACUGGGCGUAAAGCGUGCUCCGGCGGUUUGUUAAGUCUGUUGUGAAAUCCCCGAGCUCAACUUGGGAAUUGCAAUGGAUACUGGCAGGCUGGAGUAUGGUAGAGGAAGGUGGAAUUCCCGGUGUAGCAGUGAAAUGCGUAGAGAUCGGGAGGAACACCAGUGGCGAAGGCGGCCUUCUGGACCAAUACUGACGCUCAUGCACGAAAGCGUGGGGAGCAAACAGG
rnacentral:rRNA from 1 species